AUUGAACGCUGGCGGCAUGCUUUACACAUGCAAGUCGAACGGUAGAGGGGGCAACCCCUUGAGAGUGGCGAACGGGUGAGUAAUGCAUCGGAACGUGCCCAGUCGUGGGGGAUAACGCAGCGAAAGCUGUGCUAAUACCGCAUACGAUCUCUGGAUGAAAGCGGGGGACCGAAAGGCCCCGCGUGAUUGGAGCGGCCGAUGGCAGAUUAGGUAGUUGGUGGGGUAAAGGCUCACCAAGCCAACGAUCUGUAGCUGGUCUGAGAGGACGACCAGCCACACUGGGACUGAGACACGGCCCAGACUCCUACGGGAGGCAGCAGUGGGGAAUUUUGGACAAUGGGCGCAAGCCUGAUCCAGCAAUGCCGCGUGCAGGAAGAAGGCCUUCGGGUUGUAAACUGCUUUUGUACGGAACGAAAAGGUCUGGGUUAAUACCCUGGGCACAUGACGGUACCGUAAGAAUAAGCACCGGCUAACUACGUGCCAGCCGCCGCCGUAA
rnacentral:rRNA from 1 species